UACGGAGGGGGCAAGCGUUGUUCGGAAUCACUGGGCGUAAAGCGCAUGCAGGCGGCCUUUCAAGCUAGGGGUGAAAUCCCGGGGCUCAACCCCGGAACUGCCUUUAGAACUGUUAGGCUAGAGUCCGAGAGAGGAUGGCGGAAUUCCUAGUGUAGAGGUGAAAUUCGUAGAUAUUAGGAGGAACACCAGUGGCGAAGGCGGCCAUCUGGCUCGGUACUGACGCUCAGAUGCGAAAGCGUGGGGAGCAAACAGG
rnacentral:rRNA from 1 species